rnacentral:lncRNA from 1 species
UUAAAUUAAAAUUUAAAUUUAUAAAUAUAAAAUUUAAAUUUAAACUUAUAUUUUAAUUAAAAAAUAAGCUUAAAAAUGUAAAAUUUAAUCGAACAUAUCUAUUCUGCCCGGAUUCAAUUUUCAAUUCGGCCUGCCGAAUUAGAAAAAUCAGUAAUUGAGAGGAUUUCCAUUCACCCGAAAAUCGAAAUCGGAAUGAAAAUCCCGCAUAUCAAUUAUAGACAAACGAAUUCGUUUAUUCUUAUUCUGAUUCCAGAGUGAAAAAUGAGCGAACUAAACACGCCCACCAAAAAGAUAAGAUAAAAUAAAAG